AGAGUUUGAUCCUGGCUCAGAACAAACGCUGGCGGCGUGUCUUAAGCAUGCAAGUUGAGCGGCAAGGAGGAGAGAUCCUCCCUAGAGCGGCGGACUGGUGAGUAACGCGUGGGUAAUCUAUCGUAGGCAUGGGGAUAGUCACUAGAAAUAGUGGGUAAUACCGAAUACGUUCCAUGAGGGGAGUAUUCAUGGAAGAAAGGGUGCUACGGCACUGGCCUUAGGUGAGCUCGCGUCCCAUUAGCUAGUUGGUGAGGUAAAGGCCCACCAAGGCGAUGAUGGGUAGCCGGCCUGAGAGGGUGUACGGCCACACUGGGACUGAGAUACGGCCCAGACUCCUACGGGAGGCAGCAGCUAAGAAUAUUCCGCAAUGGACGAAAGUCUGACGGAGCGACGCCGCGUGGAUGAAGAAGGCCGAAAGGUUGUAAAGUUCUUUUGCUAGGGGAGAAUAAGUGAGGGAGGGAAUGCCCUCAUGAUGACAAGGACUAGCGAAUAAGCCCCGGCCAACUACGUGCCAGCAGCCGCGGUAACACGUAGGGGGCGAGCGUUGUUCGGAAUUACUGGGCGUAAAGGGCAUGUAGGCGGCUUGGUAAGCCUGGCGUGAAAGACUGCAGCUUAACUGUAGGGAUGCGUUGGGAACUGCUUAGCUUGAGUUACGGAGAGGGAGCUGGAAUUCCUGGUGUAGGGGUGAAAUCUGUAGAUAUCAGGAAGAACACCGAUGGCGAAGGCAAGCUUCUGGUCGAUAACUGACGCUGAGGUGCGAAAGUGUGGGGAUCAAACAGGAUUAGAUACCCUGGUAGUCCACACUGUAAACGAUGUGCACGAGGUGCUGGGGCGGUAGUUUCAGUGCCGGAGCGAACGCGGUAAGUGCACCGCCUGGGGAGUAUGCUCGCAAGGGUGAAACUCAAAGGAAUUGACGGGGGCCCGCACAAGCGGUGGAGCAUGUGGUUUAAUUCGAUGCAACGCGAAGAACCUUACCUGGACUUGACAUGCUUUUGACCGCUGUAGAAAUAUAGUUUUCUCGCAAGAGACAGAAGCACAGGUGCUGCAUGGCUGUCGUCAGCUCGUGCCGUGAGGUGUUGGGUUAAGUCCCGCAACGAGCGCAACCCCUACUGCCAGUUACUAACACGUUAUGGUGAGGACUCUGGCGGAACUGCCGGUGACAAACCGGAGGAAGGUGGGGAUGACGUCAAGUCAUCAUGGCCCU
rnacentral:rRNA from 1 species